rnacentral:rRNA from 1 species
UACGGAGGGUGCGAGCGUUGUCCGGAAUCAUUGGGCGUAAAGGGCGCGUAGGUGGCGGCUUAAGCGUGCGGUGAAAGCUCGGGGCUCAACCCCGAGUCGGCCGUGCGAACUGGGGGGCUGGAGCACUGUAGAGGCAGGCGGAAGUUCCGGGUGUAGCGGUGGAAUACGUAGAGAUCCGGAAGAACACCGGUGGCGAAGGCGGCCUGCUGGGCAGUUGCUGACACUGAGGCGCGACAGCGUGGGGAGCAAACAGG